rnacentral:rRNA from 1 species
UACGUAGGGGGCAAGCGUUGUCCGGAAUCAUUGGGCGUAAAGAGCGUGUAGGCGGCUCGAUAAGUCUGCUGUGAAAGUCCAGGGCUCAACCCUGGAAGGCCGGUGGAAACUGUCGGGCUAGAGUCCGGAAGAGGCAAGUGGAAUUCCCGGUGUAGCGGUGAAAUGUGUAGAGAUCGGGAGGAACACCGGUGGCGAAGGCGGGUCUCUGGGCAUCUCCUGACGCUGAGGCGCGAAAGCGUGGGGAGCAAACGGG